UCCUUUCAUCCAGAGAUUGUGACAAUGCCACAACCAUCCAUGGCUGGGAGUCUGUGUUAGCGCUCGCACUUC